CCUGAGCUCAAGCAGUCUGCCUGUUCCCAAAGUGCUGGGAUGACCAGGCAUGAGCCACUGUACCCAACCAGCUUUUGUGGAAUAUUUUUUAGCCUCUCACAGUGUGCCCAACCUUUGGCUUCCAAAGAUUCUUGUCUGUCCCACAUGCAAAAUACAUUUUCCCCAUACCAACAUACUGCCAAAUUUCAGCCUGUUACAGCAUCAACUCACAUCCAAAAUCUUACCUAAGUGUCAUCAGCCCCAAAAGUCCCAAACUCAGCAUCUAGAUCAGGUAUGGGUGGUACUAUGGAUAUGAUCCACCCCAAGGUAAAGUUUCUGUUCACUUGUUGACCUGUGAAACUAGAAGACGGGUUAUCUGCUUCUAAAAUUUAAUGGCAGAAUAAGCAUAGAAUAACAGUUGUAGGCACUCCUAUUCCAAAGGGGAGAAAAUGGAAGGAAGAAAAGGUUACCCAGACCCAGGCACCUUCCAAAUCCAGUAGGGCAAAUUCCAUUACAUGCAAGGCCUGGGAAUAAUCCCCUGAGGCUAAUUUCACUGCCCUCUGGGCCCAUAGCUCUGCCUUCUGGCCUUGCAAUUCUGGGCUCUGGUUCCAAAGCUCAGCCCUCACAGUCAUCUUUCCUUUUUUCAUGAAGGGUAGCACAUGUUUGCAACUUUGUAGUUUUAUGAGCUUAUUUUCUUUCUAUGGAAUUUUGGGAGUCUAGCAACCUUCUUUCAUUUAGUCAUGUCCUUGAUCCUUUCAGUCUAAGCUGGACAUGUUUCUACUGAUGUAAUAUUCUCAAAAACCUGGUGAUUCUCCUGUAUGUGUCAUAGGGAUUCAUAUUAUUAGACAAAAGGGUCCUCCACAGAAUUUCUUAGAUAAUCUCAUCUUUCUUUCUGACCUAUGCUGAUAUCCAUUCAUAUCCAAGGGUCACAUACCCAUUCCCUUCAGUUCUAGCAACAGGGUGUUCAGUCAUAUACUUGGCGUUCUCUCCAGAGGACAUUUUGUUAACAGUGGAUCUUCUAAUUUUAGCAUAUUUUGCAAUUUAAACAAGCUGUUAAUUUCUAAAUCAAGGGUCUUUUUUUGCGUAACACUUCUUUCCUCAAUUAAUCUAUUUUUGCUCACAUUUUACUAUAAGCAGAAAGAAGAAACCAGGCUGCACCUUGAGUACUUUGCUUGGAAGUCUCAUCAGCUAAAUGUCCACAUUAAUGGCUUAAAAGUUUUGCUUUACACUAACUGUAAAACAAUUCAGCUAAGUUUCUGCUUCUGUAUAACAAAAAUUGCCUUUCUUCUAGUUUCCAACAACAUGCUUCUAAUUUUUUUCUGAGACCUCACCAGAAGGGCUUCUAUGGAUUCGCUGGUAAAGACAAUCUGGGCUUUUUCUAUCAUGCACUUACAAGUUCUUUGAGCCUCUACUCAUUGUCCAAUUCCAAAGCCAGCUGCACAUUUUUAAAGUGUAUUUCUUCUAGCAAUAACUCACUUCCUUGUAGCAAAAUCUGCAUCAGUCAGGGUUAAACCAGAGACACAGAACUAGUAAGAGACAUCAAAAGGGGUGCAUUGCAGGGAGUUGGCUCACAUGAUGAUGGGUGCUGGCUAGGCAAGUCUGAAAUCUGUAAAGCAGGCCAUCAGGAAUGGCAGCUGGAGCUUUCUGGCACAGGCUGAAGCUGCUGUCCACAAGUGGGAUUUCUUUCCAGAAACCUCAGUUCUGCCUGUAGGGCCUUUCAGCUGAUUGGGUGAGACCCACCCAGAUUAUCCAGGAUCAUCUCUUUUAUUUAAAACCAAUUUUAUUUUUGAAUGUUAAUCUCAUCUACAAAAAUGGCUUCACAGCAAUGACGAGAUUAGUAUUUGAUUGACUAACUGGGCAUUGCAGCCUAGCCAAGUUAACAUGUCAAACUGACCAUCACAGGUUAGUAAACACGUCACACAGCCAAGUUAACACAACAAACUGACGAUCACAGGUUAGUUUACACGUCACACAGCCAAAACACGUCAAACUGACCAUCACAGGUUAGUUAACACGUCACACAGCCAAGUUAACACGUCAAACUGACCAUCACAGGUUAGUUAACACGUCACUCAGCCAAGUUAACACGUCACACUGACCAUCACAGAUUAGUUAACACGUCACUCAGCCAAGUUAACACGUCACACUGACCAUCACAGGUUAGUUAACACGUCACACAGCCAAGUUAACACGUCACACUGACCAUCACAGGUUAGUUAACACGUCACUCAGCCAAGUUAACACGUCAAACUGACUGUCACCGGUUAGUUAACACGUCACACAGCCAAGUUAACACGUCAAACUGACCGUCACAGGUUAGUUAACAUGUCACACAGCCAAGUUAACACGUCACACUGACCGUCACAGGUUAGUUAACACGUCACCCAGCCAAGUUAACACGUCAAACUGACCGUCACAGGUUAGUUAACACGUCACACAGACAAGUUAACACAUCACACUGACCGUCACAGGUUAGUUAACAGGUCACCCAGCCAAGUUAACACGUCACACUGACCAUCACAGGUUAGUUAACACGUCACACAGCCAGGUUAACACGUCACACUGACCAUCACAGGUUAGUUAACACGUCACACAGCCAAGUUAACACGUCAAACUGACGAUCACAGGUUAGUUAACACGUCACACAGCCAAAACACAUCAAACUGACCAUCACAGGUUAGCUAACACGUCACACAGCCAAGUUAACACGUCACACUGACCGUCACAGGUUAGUUUACACGUCACACAGCCAAAACACGUCAAACUGACCAUCACAGGUUAGUUAACAUGUCACACAGCCAAGUUAACACGUCAAACUGACGAUCACAGGUUAGUUAACACGUCACACAGCCAAGUAAGUUAACACGUCAAACUGACCGUCACAGGUUAGUUAACACGUCACACAGCCAAGUUAACACGUCACACAGCCAAGUUAACACGUCAAACUGACCGUCACAGGUUAGUUAACACGUCACACAGCCAAGUUAACACGUCAAACUGACCGUCACAGGUUAGUUAACACGUCACACAGCCAAGUUAACACGUCAAACUGACCAUCACAGGUUAGUUAACACGUCACACAGCCAAAACACGUCAAACUGACCAUCACAGGUUAGUUAACGUGUCACACAGCCAAGUUAACACGUCAAACUGACGAUCACAGGUUAGUUUACACGUCACACAGCCAAAACACGUCAAACUGACCAUCACAGGUUAGUUAACACGUCACACAGCCAAGUAAGUUAACACGUCAAACUGACCGUCACAGGUUAGUUAACACGUCACACAGCCAAGUUAACACAUCACACAGCCAAGUUAACACGUCAAACUGACCGUCACAGGUUAGUUAACACGUCACACAGCCAAGUUAACACGUCAAACUGACCGUCACAGUUUAGUUAACACGUCACACAGCCAAGUUAACACGUCAAACUGACCAUCACAGGUUAGUUAACACAUCACACAGCCAAAACACGUCAAACUGACCACCACAGGUUAGUUAACACGUCACACAGCCAAGUUAACACGUCAAACUGACCAUCACAGGUUAGUUAACACGUCACACAGCCAAGUUAACACGUCAAACUGACCGUCACAGGUUAGUUAACACGUCACUCACCCAGGUUAACACGUCACACUGACCGUCACAGGUUAGUUAACACGUCACACAGCCAAGUUAACACGUCACACUGACCAUCACAGGUUAGUUAACACGUCACUCAGCCAAGUUAACACGUCACACUGACCGUCACAGGUUAGUUAACACGUCACACAGCCAAGUUAACACGUCAAACUGACCGUCACAGGUUAGUUAACACGUCACACAGCCAAGUUAACACGUCACACUGACCAUCACAGGUUAGUUAACACGUCACUCAGCCAAGUUAACACGUCACACUGACCAUCACAGGUUAGUUAACACGUCACACAGCCAAGUUAACACGUCACACUGACCAUCACAGGUUAGUUAACACGUCACUCAGCCAAGUUAACACGUCACACUGACCAUCACAGGUUAGUUAACACGUCACACAGCCAAGUUAACACGUCACACUGACCACCACCGUGCUUGCCUGUAUUAAGCCCUUGAUGCCUGUGUAUCUGUUAAAAUGAAAGACUGUGAUAGUAGAAUGUUCCCUUCCUAUCAGUGAGGAGAUCAUUUGAUUCAAAUGUGGGAAAAAUUAAAGAUCAUGAAAAUACAUUAGCCAUGAUUAUAAUGGGAGUGUGGGGAAGGGCAUGGUAAAUAUUUAGAAUAAGCUAAACUUCUAAUGAAAUGAGAUCUCCUCAGCUGGGGCUGGUGGACCCAGAUGAGCUUCAGUGGGUCAUGAACCUCCCAGAAUUAUAUGGGGUGUGCGUUUUUGUGUGAAAGAGAGAAAGAACAUUUUUUUUUUCUGGAAUUAGAGUUCAUAGCUUUUAUCAGAUUCACACAAAAAAGUGCGUUGUAUUAUAAAUGUAACUACCUCAUAUAUAUGGUAACCAGGUCAUCCAUCAGUAGCAAUAGGCCUGUAUUAGGAGUCCUUGACGGUGGAUCUAAUAAAAUCUUCUGUGCUCGUAACUCACACCUACCUGGAUAUUCUAGAAUCAGCUCUUGGAGAACUCAGAGGUAAUACAGAUAGUGGUUCUUAUAGGGAUUGGCUAGGGCAAAAUUAGGAGAUGCUUGUUGUACCAAAGUCUACUGGUAUGUUUCCUACUAAUAAAUCAUGCCUGAUGCCCCCAAGUCAAUGACUCGAUAGAGGAAGUGAGUGAUGAGGCAGGCAGCAUAACUCUGUGAAUGAGCCAACCCCAGCCCUUCCCCUGACUUAAAAAGGGGUUAAUGAACACAGAUGGCUGCAAACCCCCCAAGCAGCCAGCAUACUGUAAAACAAUAUUAACAUCAUUGCCUUUUGAAUACCAUGUCUUGUAAACCCCAGGAUAUGACAAGCCUCUUUAGAAUCUUCUUUGAUUGUGUUACUCAGACUCCCGUAGGGAAGUAGGGAGGGGUAGGGGUAGAUACCAGAGGAAAUGUGUAAUUAGGAGUCUCUUAGAACAAUAAGGGUUCUCAAACACAUAUGUGUGCAACUGAUUUGUUGCUUUUGGUAUUUCUGUUGGUGAGUAAUUAACUAACCAUGUUUUGGGGGCAGUCUGUGCAAGCUUGGGCAAUCUGAUAGUUGUGAACCAUGGGGAAAGAAUAGUUGCCUUUAGCUAUAUUUUCAGAAAAAUACUAAGUGGAGAUGUGAAUGGAAAGGAAAGAACAGACUUUCUGGAGAGAUGCCAUUAUGGUAAUGUCAGAACUUCCUUUCAGUCUCAGAUAAAUCUUUCUUGUUAUCACCCUUAUUUUUAGUUUUACUCAAGACAGGAGGCCCAGUUCAGUUGGAGAGUGCCGUGUACACAGAUAUCCCUGCCACCUCCCCGGGAGAGAGGCACAGGGGCCUCUGCGGGACUCUGGCCCCUUAUUUUACGGUUGUGAUUCCUCCUCACUGUGGUGCCUGUGUGUGGGGUUUCAGGGAGAGGGGCCUUUUGAUUUGACUGCUGAGAGGAAUAGGGGUUUUCUCCUGGGAACUCUUCUGAGAGAAUAAGCUUUUGACAAACACUCUUUGAAAGUUACUCUAUGGCCAGAUGCGUGCAGAUCCAAAGAUGGUGUCAUUUGUGAAAAAUGAGGCUGGCUUAUGAGCUGGGUCCAUUUGCACACAGCCUGCAGCCACGGAGUCCCUCAGCUUGGAGAUGUGCUAGCUCCUUCUGUCCUGUGGGCUGCUGGGGCUUUGUGUCACUGGCAUCAGAAAACAGAAUUUGGCAGUUCUCUAGGCUAAGGGUUUCCAAACUAAGUGUCCUCUGUAUUAACAACGAGGAGCCAAAAUGGGGACUUUUCUAUUUGUGAAGGGGAUCCAGUGAAAAUAAACUGUUUUAUUUUGGUGACUUUGAGUAUAGGAAUUGUCUUCUCUGGACCUCAGUUUAUCCAACUAGAAAAAUGGGAGCAGAGGUGCCUAGUUAUCUUUAGGAAUGUUCUGUGACUUAAUGAAGCAAUAUUUAUGUAAUGAUUUGGUGGUGUAAAUGUCCCCAGCAGUGCAUGAUGUUAGUUGUAUGUUUGCAAAGUACCUAGCUCCCCUGGUAAAGGUAACCUUUGUAAAUGGCAAGCUAUGAGUAUUGUUAAAAGGACAUAUGGCUCCACCUUCUUUCCAAAAAAGAUCACUGAGGAAUAUAGGGCCAGUUAAAUAGCAUAGAAAGAGGUUCAGAGUGUCUUGACCUGGAGCAGUUUUUAAAACCUCAGGCCAAAACUCCACUAGGAAACUCACCAAACUAACCAUUAUGGUCAAUUUCAUUUUGAAAUAAAGCACCCUAAUUCAUCUGUCCAGGAGUCCAGGUUCCUGUGUGGCCCAAGGUUGCAUUCGGAGGUCAGAGUAAAUCCUGUCGCUAAAGAGCCACUCCUUCUAGAAAUAGCUUUUUUUAAUGUCUGCAAUUUCUCAAUUCAGUUCUUUGACUCUUUAGUUCUAUCCCAUUUCUGGCCACAAACCUGUUUGGGGUUUGCUCCACCAUAAGUCAACACAUGCACAUGCUUUCCCAUCAGUUCCCAGAAUGCAGAGGACACUGUAGGUCUGCUAAGGGGCUUCUUUCAGAACUUCUGGGGUUAACGUGGUUGGAAUGUGUGCUAACAGGCUGCUCUCACAGUGGCAGUUCUAAUUGGCUGAGGAUGAGUCUUGAAAUGUCACAGAAAGAUUUAUCUCUCAGCACAGAUUCUCCCUCAACUAAUUUUUCAGUAGGCCACCAGAUAAUGGGUUGUUUGGAAAACAAUAUGCAGUUCUCAGAUGCCUUUCUGUGUUGGAAUGAACUUGGUAGGCUAUUUGAAGCAAAAUGGCUGAUGGCAAGGAAACUCUUGACUGACUUACAGGCCAUUGGACACUGGGAACACCAGGCCUUGCUUGUGAGGGAUUUGGCUGAGUCAGUUUCUCAGGGUCCAUCACCAUUCUUGUGGGGACUCAGCACACAGGUGGGUGGGGAAACCUGCCUCAGAAGUUUGGCUUAUAAAGAAAUAUGGGGAUUGAUAUCUGGAUCCUUUUAUAUCAGCAGCAAGGAUUAAUUUUAGAGAAGAUAUUUCAUAAAAAAAUGGAUUCUUCCCUACUCUCAGUUUCUCAGGAAAAAUAUAUUUGCUUGAUUUGAAGGUACCAUUGACAGUUAGCUGCUUGUUGAUUUAAUAACAGCUUUUUUUUUUUAGGAUUAAGAGAAAUAGAAAAAUGGGCACCAUGUUCAACAUACAUACAGAUUAGAAGAUAAAUUUCUAUUUCAGAAACAUUGCAACACUGUUCGCAACAACCAAGAUAUGGAAACACUAAAUGUCCACUGCUGGAUAAAUGGAUAAAGAAAAUGUGGAAUUUACAUACAGUGGAGAAAUUUGUUAAAGAAUAGAAACUUACAGCUACACAGUAUGGAUAAGUUCUGGUGUUGUAUACCACUGUAGGAUGACUAUAAAAAUAAUACAGUAUGUAGUUUCAGAUAGUUAGAAGGAGGAUAUUGAAUGUUCCUAAUGCAAAGAAAUGAUAAAUGCUUGAGAUGAUAGAUAUAUGAAUUACCCUAAUCUGAUCACCAUAAGUUGUAUGUAUUGAAAAAUCACUAUGUUCCCUAUAAACAUGUACAAUUAUUAAGUGUCAAUUUUUUAAGAGUAUAUAAAGAUGCAUACAGGGAAUGCUGCAAUAUGUGACAUCAUGGAUGGACCUUGAGGACAUUAUGCUGAAUGAAAUAAACCAGUCAGAAAGGACAAGUACUCCAUGAUUCCACUGAUGUGAGAUAUCUAAAAUAAGCAAAUUCAUAGAAUCAAAGAGUGGAAUGAUGGUCACCAGGGGCUGGAAUGAGAGGGGAAUGAGCAUGGAGUUUCAGUUACGCAAGAUGUGUAAGUUCUGGAAGUCUCCUGUACAACAUUGUACCUCUGGUUACCGUAUUAUACACUGAAAAUUUGGUUAAGAGGGUAGAGCUCAUGGUAAGUGUUCUUGCUGCUAUAAAAUAAAAUUUUAAUCAAUACA